CUCUCAGGCAAAGCAGCGAGUUCCAUGGAAGACCUUCCCACAGUGAACAGAUGAAAAACAGGGGGCUUUGUUUUGGGUGCAAACAAGAUGUUUUGUGUCACUUUUAAAGAUCGCAAUCCAAACAUCAGGUUCCUGUGAAGUCUUGAUUUCUCAGAUAUGAAAGUCUUGCCGAACAGUGAUUUCCCACUGAGGAAGCAGGAUGGCUGCAGUGGUGAAGCAGCUGCACUUUUUUCCCCAUUAAGAGAAGCAAAGAAAUGAAAAA